rnacentral:tRNA from 1 species
GGGCGGGUGCCUGAGCGGACAAAAGGAGCUGACUGUAGAUCAGCCGCCCUUGUGGCUACGGAGGUUCGAAUCCUUCCCCGCCCACCA